rnacentral:tRNA from 1 species
GCCGAUGUAGCUCAAAGGUAGAGCAACUGAUUUGUAAUCAGUUGGUUGGAGGUUCGAUUCCUCUCAUCGGCU